AGACUAUAGCGCCUACAUGACGACCAUCCAGGACCUGCGAGAUAAGAUUCUUGGUGCCACCAUAGAGAACUCAAAGAUUGUUCUGCAAAUUGACAAUGCCCGGCUGGCUGCAGAUG
rnacentral:pre_miRNA from 13 species